CAGCAGUCGCCGCGGUAAUACAGAGGGUGCGAGCGUUAAUCGGAUUUACUGGGCGUAAAGCGUGCGUAGGCGGCUUCUUAAGUCGGAUGUGAAAUCCCUGAGCUUAACUUAGGAAUUGCAUUCGAUACUGGGAAGCUAGAGUAUGGGAGAGGAUGGUAGAAUUCCAGGUGUAGCGGUGAAAUGCGUAGAGAUCUGGAGGAAUACCGAUGGCGAAGGCAGCCAUCUGGCCUAAUACUGACGCUGAGGUACGAAAGCAUGGGGAGCAAACAGGAUUAGAUACCCGCGUAGUCCCUGUCUCUUAUAC
rnacentral:rRNA from 1 species